AUGCAGCAAUCAGGUACUUGCGGCAGUGUUACCCUAACCCCGUCGUCCUUUUCUGAAGAAGUCAGAUCGGGAAGUUCUCUGACGCUCACGUGUCGGGUUUCGGGGUAUUCCCUAACGGACAGCAGCUACUAUACAAACUGGAUUCGUCAACUUCCUCAAAGGACACUAGAAUGGGUGGGGUACAUUAACGAAGUUGGGGGCACAAGCUACGCAUCUUCAGUCCAGGGUCGGAUCACCAUAACAAAGUCGAGCAGCUCGCUGUCCUUGGAAAUGCGGAGCCUGACAGAAGUUGAUUCGGCAGUCUAUUAUUGUGCCCGAGGAGCACAGUGA